AAAUCUAUCGUCCAAAGGAUAAGACAAUAGCCUUCUAAGCUAUUAAUAUAGGUUCAAUUCCUAUUAGAUUUA
rnacentral:tRNA from 1 species